GAUGAACGCUGGCGGCGUGCCUAAUACAUGCAAGUCGAGCGAAUGGAUUAAGAGCUUGCUCUUAUGAAGUUAGCGGCGGACGGGUGAGUAACACGUGGGUAACCUGCCCAUAAGACUGGGAUAACUCCGGGAAACCGGGGCUAAUACCGGAUAACAUUUUGAACCGCAUGGUUCGAAAUUGAAAGGCGGCUUCGGCUGUCACUUAUGGAUGGACCCGCGUCGCAUUAGCUAGUUGGUGAGGUAACGCCUCACCAAGGCAACGAUGCGUAGCCGACAGGGGAGGGUUAUCAGCCACACUGGGACUCAGACACGACCCAAACGCCUACGGGAGGCAGCAGUAAGGAAUCAUCCGCAAAGGACGAAAGGCUUGCGGAGCAACGCCGCGUGAGUUAUGAAGGCUUUCGGGUCGUAAAACUCUGUUUUUAGGGAAGAACAAGUGCUAGUUGAAUAAGCUGGCGCCUUGACGGUACCUAGCCAGAAAGCCACGGCUAACUACGUGCCAGCCGCCGCAGUAA
rnacentral:rRNA from 1 species